rnacentral:rRNA from 1 species
GAGUUUGAUCGUGGCUCAGGAUGAACGCUGGCGGCGUGCCUAAUACAUGCAAAGUCGAGCGAACGGACGAGAAGCUUGCUUCUCUGAUGUUAGCGGCGGACGGGUGAGUAACACGUGGAUAACCUACCUAUAAGACUGGGAUAACUUCGGGAAACCGGAGCUAAUACCGGAUAAUAUUUUGAACCGCAUGGUUCAAAAGUGAAAGACGGUCUUGCUGUCACUUAUAGAUGGAUCCGCGCUGCAUUAGCUAGUUGGUAAGGU